CCGUCGCCACCAGCCUCCCCUCCUUCGCGUCCAAGGGCGCCGCUCCCGGGAAUCGUUUCCUGCCGGCGGUCGCCGCUCGCUUCCCUCACCGCCGCCGGAUCAUCCACCGCCGGCCGCCGCUCCCCCAGAGCCCGUCGCUUGCGGGCAGAUCCUGACUACGACGUUCCGGACUCAUAUUUACCGGGGUAAAACUUAAGCCCAGGGUCGGCCCGACUACUGUAACGUCGCCUUCCCCCCAUUCGCGUCGCCGCCGACCGCCGCCUCCACGGGCAACCGGCAAGAUGACCCUGAAGCCCAAGCGGAAACUUCCGGCCUCCACGGUGCGAUUUCCCUUGAGUACCUGCAGGAGCUAUCCGUUGAUGAGGUGGUUGAUGAGGUGAAGAGGGAACUCUCGCAUUUGAAAGAGAUUGGACCGAAGAUGAUACUCAUGUGCUCCGCAUUACAAAGGCUGUUGGUUGGGUUCCUUCAACAGCAACCAGGGAGAAGGCAUGCAUUCAUCUGAACAAGAAAAUUCCUGAUGAUCUGAAGUUAAACUUGGAUUUUCAAUUUGUUACUCAUGGGAAGCUUUGUCGAUAAUGUACACAAAACUUAGGAGCCCAGAAAAUCAAGGUUGCCAAUAA